AGGUAACGGCUACCCAAGGCGACGACGGGUAGCCGGCCUGAGAGGGCGACCGGCCACACUGGGACUGAGACACGGCCCAGACUCCUACGGGAGGCAGCAGUGGGGAAUAUUGCACAAUGGGCGCAAGCCUGAUGCAGCGACGCCGCGUGAGGGAUGACGGCCUUCGGGUUGUAAACCUCUUUCAGCAGGGAAGAAGCGCAAGUGACGGUACCUGCAGAAGAAGCGCCGGCUAACUACGUGCCAGCAGCCGCGGUAAUACGUAGGGCGCGAGCGUUGUCCGGAAUUAUUGGGCGUAAAGAGCUCGUAGGCGGCUUGUCGCGUCGGUUGUGAAAGCCCGGGGCUUAACCCCGGGUCUGCAGUCGAUACGGGCAGGCUAGAGUUCGGUAGGGGAGAUCGGAAUUCCUGGUGUAGCGGUGAAAUGCGCAGAUAUCAGGAGGAACACCGGUGGCGAAGGCGGAUCUCUGGGCCGAUACUGACGCUGAGGAGCGAAAGCGUGGGGAGCGAACAGGAUUAGAUACCCUGGUAGUCCACGCCGUAAACGUUGGGCGCUAG
rnacentral:rRNA from 1 species